UACAGAGGUCCCGAGCGUUGUUCGGAUUUACUGGGCGUAAAGGGUGCGUAGGUGGUGGGGUAAGUUUGAUGUGAAAUCUCCAGGCUCAACCUGGAAAUGGCAUCGAAUACUAUCCCGCUUGAGGGUUGGAGGGGGGACUGGAAUUCUCGGUGUAGCAGUGAAAUGCGUAGAUAUCGAGAGGAACACCAGUGGCGAAGGCGAGUCCCUGGACAACUCCUGACACUGAGGCACGAAAGCUAGGGGAG
rnacentral:rRNA from 1 species